UCCUCGGUGGCGCAAUUGGCUAGCGCGUCUGACUGUUACUAAAACUGUUAUCAGGAGGUUGAAAGUUCGAGCCUUUCCCGGGGAG
rnacentral:tRNA from 1 species